rnacentral:rRNA from 1 species
AGUGAACGCUGGCGGUAGGCCUAACACAUGCAAGUCGAACGGCAGCACAGUAAGAGCUUGCUCUUACGGGUGGCGAGUGGCGGACGGGUGAGGAAUACAUCGGAAUCUACUUUUUCGUGGGGGAUAACGUAGGGAAACUUACGCUAAUACCGCAUACGACCUACGGGUGAAAGCAGGGGAUCUUCGGACCUUGCGCGAUUGAAUGAGCCGAUGUCGGAUUAGCUAGUUUGCGGGGUAAAGGCCCACCAAGGCGACGAUCCGUAGCUGGUCUGAGAGGAUGAUCAGCCACAAUGGAACUGAGACACGGUCCAGACUCCUACGGGAGGCAGCAGUGGGGAAUAUUGGACAAUGGGCGCAAGCCUGAUCCAGCCAUACCGCGUGGGUGAAGAAGGCCUUCGGGUUGUAAAGCCCUUUUGUUGGGAAAGAAAAGCAGCAGGUUAAUACCCCGCUGUUCUGACGGUACCCAAAGAAUAAGCACCGGCUAACUUCGUG